CGAACGCCGGCGGCGCGUCUUAAGCAUGCAAGUCGGGCGGGAUCAGGGUGCUUGCAUCCUGUGAGAGCGGCGGACUGGUGAGUAACGCGUGGGCGACGCACCCCCUGCACCGGGACAGCCGGCAGAAAUGCCGGGUGAUACGGGAUGAGCUCGUGCCCUGUGGUGGGGCAUGAGGAAAGCGGCCACGGCCGCGGCAGGGGAGCGGCCCGCGUCCCAUCAGCUAGUAGGCGGGGCAAAGGCCCACCUAGGCGACGACGGGUACCCGGACUGAGAGGUUGGACGGGCACAUUGGGACUGAGAUACGGCCCAGACUCCUACGGGAGGCAGCAGCUAAGAAUAUUCCGCAAUGGGGGAAACCCUGACGGAGCGACGCCGCGUGGACGAAUGGAGGCCGGAAGGUUGUAAAGUCCUCUGGCGCCUGAGGAAGUGCCCGGGCAGGGAAUGGCCCGGGAGUGACUGUAGGGCGAGAACAAGCACCGGCUAAUUACGUGCCAGCCGCAGC
rnacentral:rRNA from 1 species